rnacentral:rRNA from 1 species
UACGUAGGGUGCGAGCGUUAAUCGGAAUUACUGGGCGUAAAGCGUGCGCAGGCUGUUUUGUAAGUCAGAUGUGAAAUCCCCGAGCUCAACUUGGGACUGCGUUUGAAACUACAAGACUAGAAUAUGUCAGAGGGGGGGUAGAAGUUCCACGUGAUAGCAGUGAAAUGCGUAGAGAUGUGGAGGAAUACCAAUGGCGAAGGCAGCCUCCUGGG